rnacentral:misc_RNA from 1 species
CGGCGCCACAAUGCAGAAACUCUCCGAGACAGAGCAGAAGGAGCUGAAGGAGAUUUUCGACCUCAUCGACUCCGACCAAUCCGGCGUCAUCUCGCUCCAGGAGCUGCGCAAGCUCAUGGCAGCUCUGCACCUGAAACCAACCGAACAGGAGCUAGAAGAGGUGUUUGAGGAAACUUGCAGCUUGCCAUCCAUCACGAAGGCGAGUGCCGGGUCCCCUUCGGCGUCGUCCUUGCCGCUCCCGCCCUCCUUCAUCGCCGCUGCCGCACCCCAUGACGGUAGCGUCGUGAACAACUCCCACAGCGACAUCAAUGCGUCCUCCGAAGCGACGGCCGCGGCAGCAUCGGCGCGCAUGGUGACUUUCCCGCAGUUUGCCACCAUGAUGGCACGCCGCGUGCAGUCCGAGUACACCGCCAAGCAGCUUCGCAACGCCUUCCAGCUCUUCGAGUCCCCUGACAUGCCAGAAGGUUUCGUGUCAACUAGUGUCCUGGCCCACGCCCUGGCGACGUACGGGUCGAAGAAACUCGAUAAGGAAGAGAUCGAUCGCCUCAUGGCGGCCAUCGACCCGAACAAUACGGGCCGAGUGAACUACUACGAGUUCGUGGAUACCGUGACGAUGUGAUGUUGACGGCCACGGUAGUGAUGAAAACGAUGUCAGCGGCAUAUGAGGUGCACGGGGAGGGGGGGCAGCCCUCCCCUCUACCUGUCCCCACUGUCCCUUUCUCUUUUCUUUGAUUCCUCUCAUGAUGACUUCACUCUCCCGUCAGCCUUCACGUCUUCCUCGUGAGCUCGCUGACGUGCGCACGUGACGAAAGACGGCGGUGACGGCAGUUUUCCUUUUUCGCUCUUUGCCUCCCUGUGGCGAGUGUCAUGCGCGCAGGUGCACGGCACUUCGUCAUGCGGUCACACGAGGAUUGUCAUACACAGGCGCUCACGGCGCCCUUACAGAUGUACAGGUCGAGCUGCGCAGGACCUUCCACGCGCGCGAGCGCGUCACCUCCUCCGCAGAUGCUCUGGAACGCAAUG